rnacentral:lncRNA from 1 species
GGUGGCAUUAUUUUAGGGAGAUUCCGAGAAAAUAACCAAGGUGCUCUUUUUAUAACCACAGCUAUGGAAUCAACAUCACUACCUAAUAAUUCUCGAAGAUAAUCAAGACUUCUAAUAUAAGUAUCAUGACUUGUAUGAAACAAAGCACCACUUUUUGUAAUUAUUCUAGUUAAAUUCCACCCAGAUAAGCCAACUUCUUGAAGAACCUUAAUUUUGGGUUUAAGGGUAUUAUCAACAUCAGAAAAUAGCAAUCCGGGGC